GGGGUCAAGCCCCCUUGGAGCCUGCAGCCCCUGCCUUCCCUGGGUGGGCUGAUGCUUGGAGCAGAGAUGAGGACUCAGAAUCAGACCUGUGUCUGGAGGAGGGAUGUGGUGGGUGGGGUUGGCUGGGCCCAAAUGUGUGCUGCAGGCCCUGAUCCCCAACUCUGCAACUGGGGACCCCUGCAUGGCCACAGCUCAGGCUGGGCUGUGGUGCCAGCAUAGAUAGGUGGGUGAGUGGGUGGCCCUUCCAUUAAAAGGGAAGCCAGCUGUGUCCUUUCCGGGCCUGGAGGCUUGGCCCCUCCUCUCCCAAGCCUGGCAGGGGCACUGGCCCGGCCCGCACCUUCCUAGCAGCCAGUUACCCAAGAGGAAGCUGCCUUGGGCCUCCAGACCGUUAAAUGCCAACUCCUGGCUUCCGGUAUCAGGCUGGGUUGACCUGACCUGGCCCCUUCUUGCUGGGCCCUGCAGCUUUCUAACUUGCCGGGAGGAGCAGUGACACCCGCCCCACAUGUGGGGCAUGGAACAAGUUCCUUGUGGACCCAGAAGGGACACAAGCAGGUGUGCUUAGUCCUGAGGCGCUGGGAAUAGCUGAUCCUCCCUGCCUUGAGGGGGUUCUCAGGGCAGGGAAGAGUUAGGACUCUGUUUUUUUUUUUUUGUUUUUUUUUUUUUGAGAUGGAGUCUCGCACUGUCACCCGGGCUGGAGUGCAAUGGCUCGAUCUCGGCUCACUGCAACCUCCACCUCCCCAGUUCACACGAUUCUCCUGCCUCAGCCUCCCAAGUAGCUGGGAUUACAGGUGCACACCACCGCACCUGGCUAAUUUUUGUAUUUUUAGUAGAGACCGAGUUUCGCCAUGUUGGCCAGGCUGGUCUCGAACUCUUGACCUCAGGUGAUCUGCCCGCCUCAGCCACCCAAAGUGUUGGGAUUACAGGCAUGAGCCACUGCGCCCGGCCAAUUUUUUUUUAUGUUUUGUAGAGACGGGGUUUCGCCAUGUUACCCAGACUGGUCUUGAACUCCUGACCUCAAGCAAUCUGCUCGUCUUAGCCUCCCAAAGUGCUGGGAUUACAGCUGUGAGCCACCGUGCCUGGCCUUUUAUUGUUUGUUUUUGAGACGGAGUCUCACUCUGUUGCCCAGGCUGAAGUGCAGUGGUGUGAUCUUGGCUCACUGCAACCUCUGCCUCCUGGGUUCAAGCGAUUCUCCUGCCUCAGCCUCCUGAGUAGCUGGGCUUACAGGCACCCACCACCAUGCCCGGCUAAUCUUUGUAUUUUUAGUAGAGACGGGGUUUCACCAUCUUGGCCAGGCUGGUGUGAUCAUGGCUCAUUGCAACCUUGAAUUCCUGGGCACAAGUGAUCCUCCUGCCUUAGCCUCCCCAGUAGAGCUGGGACUACAGGUAUGCGCCACCACACCUGGCUAAUUUUUUUAAUUUUAAUUUUUGUAGAGAUGGGGGGGCAGGUCUCACUAUGUUGCCCAGGCUGUUCUCGAACUCCUGGCCACAAGCCAUCCUCCCACCUUAGUCUCCCAAUGCGCCGGAAUUACAGGUGGCUCAGGUGUGAGCCACCGUGCCUGGCUUUUCUCCACUAUCUUGAAAUCAGAUGGGAGGAGGCUUUUUUCUGGGUGGGACUGAGGAGGCACACUGAAGUCCCCCAGGUCAUCGGGGCUGGGCCAUUGCCUUUUUCCCCACCCUGGGUAGUCGUGGACAGAAGCUUGGGAUGGGAUGGAGAGGAGAGAUCGUGCUGUGUGUCAUGUCUGUUGUUCAAGUAAAUAAAAGUUGCCCUGACUUCA
rnacentral:lncRNA from 1 species